GCACAUCUCCCGAAUUCACUGUGUGGCCAAGACCCUUGGUUCACAGGUUGUAAAGUCCAAGUGGGUCUAUAUCAUCCUCUAAUCUGAUAUCAUGAGGUUUAUUUAUUUCAACUAGGGCAUCUUUUUUUUUUCUCCCCAGAAAAACAAACACACAAACAAGCCAGCCACCAUGGGUUUAGUAAUUUCCAGUGAUGGCGAAUCCACAGCAAUGCCAGGUGAGAUUUCCACAGGUAGAUGGGGAACAUUUGUCCCUGGAGAAAGAACAGAAUAUUGCUGGGACUGAAAGACACAGUAGCUUGUUACACCCUAAAAAGAUGUUAACCCCUAUAUACUAAUCACACCCCUACUCAGGUAAAAAAACCUUUCAGGCUAGCGAAGUUAUCUCUUAACUUUUAAAUUGUCUAUGGUAUUCUUCUUAACUUCCUGUGCCUAACUGCUGGUAUUAUUAUUGCUCUACACUGCCAAAGAACUUUUUU
rnacentral:lncRNA from 1 species